GCCGAGGUGGCGAAAUUGGUAGACGCACUUGCCUUAGGAGCAAGCGGGGUUAACCCAUGGAGGUUCAAGUCCUCUCCUCGGCACAA
rnacentral:tRNA from 1 species